rnacentral:rRNA from 1 species
AUUGAACGCUGGCGGCAUGCUUUACACAUGCAAGUCGAACGGUAACAGGCCGCAAGGUGCUGACGAGUGGCGAACGGGUGAGUAAUGCAUCGGAACGUGCCCAGUCGUGGGGGAUAACGCAGCGAAAGCUGCGCUAAUACCGCAUACGAUCUAUGGAUGAAAGCGGGGGACCGCAAGGCCUCGCGCGAUUGGAGCGGCCGAUGUCAGAUUAGGUAGUUGGUGGGGUAAAGGCUCACCAAGCCAACGAUCUGUAGCUGGUCUGAGAGGACGACCAGCCACACUGGGACUGAGACACGGCCCAGACUCCUACGGGAGGCAGCAGUGGGGAAUUUUGGACAAUGGGCACAAGCCUGAUCCAGCAAUGCCGCGUGCAGGAAGAAGGCCUUCGGGUUGUAAACUGCUUUUGUACGGAACGAAACGGUCCUGGUUAAUACCUGGGGCUAAUGACGGUACCGUAAGAAUAAGCACCGGCUAACUACGUGCCAGCCGCCGCGGUAA